rnacentral:rRNA from 1 species
UACGUAGGGGGCAAGCGUUAUCCGGAUUCACUGGGUGUAAAGGGAGCGUAGACGGCGACGCAAGUCUGGAGUGAAAGCCCGGGGCCCAACCCCGGGACUGCUCUGGAAACUGCGUCGCUGGAGUACGGGAGGGGCAGGCGGAAUUCCUGGUGUAGCGGUGAAAUGCGUAGAUGUCAGGAGGAACACCGGCGGCGAAGGCGGCCUGCUGGACCGUGACUGACGUUGAGGCUCGAGAGCGUGGGGAGCAAACAGG